UCUGCAGGCAGCCCUCUCUCACCCCGCUGCACCCGGAGCAAAUGUGGCUCGUGAGUUAGUCACUGAGAAAGGAGGUCACAGCGGCUCGCUGCCCACUUCUCUGUCUCUUACACGAGGAUGUGUAUGCAGCCUGUCCUGAAGCGGAUAAUCUGGUCUGACAAGGACUGGAGAGAGGCUGUGUAAAUGUGAGUGUGGAAAAGCCUGGGCCUGGCGCUCAUUUCUCGGACGCGAAGACUCGAGACACGAUGGAAGUCUUUAUGUUCCAGAAGUGUAGGUCAGAAAGUGUUGAUUGACACAGGAUUCCAGGUGCUGGAGAUGAACACACCAGGGCAGGAAACCCUGUGGUCACCUGGGCUCUAGAAGAAGGGAAUGAAAGUGACCAAAGAUGCUGACAGGAUACGCAGCCGCACGGAAUUAGAACCAAUACCUAUAGCAGAAGCAUGAAGGACAGAGACACCGCUGUAUUUUGUUUCUUUUUAGUUCGCCAGGUGCCCCUCUCAGUUUGGGAGGGAAACCCUUCAGUUUUAGCCAUUGUGAUUUAGAUGGGGGCUCGUAUAACCCGCCCCCCAACAAGGGUAGAAUCAAUCAACCAAAUAUGAUCAGUAGGGAAACAUGUUAUAUGUUGUCCUGAAACCGUGGUCAUCAUUCAUGGACUGUUUAAUGGAAUCAUGGAACCACAGACAAGGCACCUUCUUAACAGUUGCCAAUUGCUAAGAUAGAACCCCAAACUACAUUGGCCGUUGCCUAAGGAGGUUAUGAUUGAGAAUAACGUAAGUUUAAGGAAUUAUUCGUUUAUGAUGGAAGCCUUGGAUCCAGUCUUACCUGAAGCCUAUUUCAGAUAAUGAAUCGUCUUAAUUAAAGGUAUUUUGAAUCAGAAUUUUGGUCUCUUCACCGAGAUGUGCCCUGGUUAAUACAGUGGGACACUUAAUGCAGGUGAACAGCAGAAUGGCUUUAACUUAGCAUGGUUUUGAUCAGAACUACAAGAGAGUGUGGUGGGUGAAGGCAUCAGGGGUGGCGCAGCACUGUUUACCAUCAUGGGCCACAAUGAAUGUGAGGAUGUGAAGUGAGGAACUCAAGGAAAAGAUGUGGAAUAAGGCUGCGGGGAGAAAAGGACCAUGGCUGUAGAGCUGUCAAAAGCCAGCACUGGCAUCCAACCUGUGCUUGGAGAUUUGAGACUGAAACAUACAGGAGACUUUCCCAUUCUAAAGUAAUAAUUAAAACACCAUGGAAUCAGCCAAACUCUAGGCAGAGCCAGGGGAACCCUGCAGAAGGGGGACUGGGGAGGAUUGAAGGAGUCAGAGGGGUCAAGAACAUGUCCCACAGAAUCAACUAAGCAGGACUCAUAGGGAUCAGCGACUGAAAAGACAGUCAUGGGUCCUGUAUGGGUCUGAUUCAUAAUUUGUUACGAUUGUGUAAUUGGAUGUUCUUGUAGGACUCCUAACAGUGGGAGUGGGGGUGUCUCUGACUCUUUUGCCUGCUUUUGGGACUCUUUCCCUCCUCCUAGAUUGCUUUGUCCAGCCUUGAUAUGAGGGUUUGUGCCUAGUGUUAUUGUAACUUGUUAUGCCACAUUCAGUUGAUAUUCCUGGGAAGCCUACUCUUUUUGUUUUUGAAGGCAAAUGGAGAAGGAGUGGAUCUGGGGAAGAUGGGAGGUGGUAUGUUGUGGGGGGGUUGGGGAAAGGACUGGGAAGUAUUGAAGGAGGGGAAACUGUGAUCGGGAUGUAAUGUAUGAGACAAGAAGAGAAGAAAAAAAGGAAAAAAGCACAGUGGAGUGAAUGACAUCACUAAGUGGAACAUAAUGUGUGGGUAAGAAAAAUGGGUCAUAGGUUGAUGAAAGGGAGGACCCAAGUUUGGGAUUCUAGAGGGAGCAAUGAAAUUAAUGGAAAAGGUUUCUUAUAAUGCUACUUUUGUAUGUGUGUGUACAUGUGUGGUCCUAAUCCCCUGGGAUCCGGGGCUCUAUGUCAGUCCUUACUGGGCUUCCUUGAUUUUAUGUUCUUCAUAUCUAUAGCCCAGCUUUUACAAUGUACUGGACUAGGAUUUGAAAAAAAAGACACAUGAUUCCCUCUAUAUGUUCACUAGUUGGCCUAUGGAUGGGGAAACUGAGCAUAUAUAUGAUCAUAUAUAUGGUCACAUAUAUGAUCAUAUAUAUAUACACACACACACAAACACAAUUGCUUUGAAAGGUAUGAAUCAGCAUGGGUGUGAACUGAUGUUACACUGAUGUGCUUAAGGUGAUGUUUUGCAUGUGUAUAUAAUAUUUGUGAAUAUGUGCAUAACAGGCAAGAAAGCUCACAUGUGUAUAUAAUCAGUUUUCACAAUGUGUGCAUAAUUAUUCAUAUGAAUAUAUUUGUACAUGAUAUAUUUAUAGGAGUGAUAGGUAUAUUAAGUUGUUAGGAAAUAAAUUGUUAGCAUUUAAGAUAUAGUCUAAAUAAGAAUAUAUAUAAAAUAAUAUAAAAGAAAUUCAGGUGAUAUGUUCUAGUAUCAGAACAUUGUAAAUACUUCUUGCAGUCUUGGCUGUUGGUAAUUGUGGUUAUUCCUUACAGGUGACUUUGUUCUCACCAUAGCCUUGUGAAGGAUCUGAUUUCAGCAUUCAGGAAGCCAGGGUUUUGAUAUUGGGUACCCUUGAAUUUCUGUUCUGACUCUCAUCACGCUUACUAUCACAUUCAAAUGUCUGACUUGAAUCCUUUAAAGUGUAUUGCCUUAUAUUACAGCACAGAAUGCAGCACCCACGUCUUCUUGGAAAGAGUGGAUUCUAUGCUGAUGCUUGAGUGGUGUUUUCUGUAAUUGCCGAUUAGGUUAGGUUGGUUGAUAGUAUUCUUCAGGUCUCCUACACCCAUCCUGAAUUCUCUGUCAAAUUGUUCUAUCAAUUGUCAAGUCAUGGUUAUUGGAAUUGCAAGCUAUAAUUGCUGAUUUUUAAAUUUUUCUUCCAGUGUAAAUUAGCUUUUGCUUCACAUAUUUUCAGACUCUAUACAUUAUUGGAAUGUAAACAUUUGGGAUUGUUUCAUUCUGUUACAUCUUAUUUCAGUGAAAUGAUCUUUAUAAUCUUUGUUCUGAAGGGUAUUUUGUUUGGAUUUAAUAAGCCACUCCAGUUAUUGGAGUAUUACAGUUAACAUGCUAUAACUUUACACAACUUUUAUCUUUGUAUUUGUCUCUGUGUCUAAAGUGCAUCUCCUAUGGGCAGUAUACAAUUGAAUCUUGUUCUUUUCUACAUUCUGAAAACCUCUGCCUUUUAAUUGGGAGGUUUAGACCAUUUAUAUUUAAUGGGAGUGGUAGAAUGACAUGUUUAAGUCUGUCAUCUUGCUGCUUGUUUUUUAAUUGAAAUAUUAUGUUGUUUAUUCCACUUUCCUUGACUUCUUUUGGAACGAAGUUUAAAAUUAUUAAUGAUUUUCUCAAAUGGUGUAUGUUACACAUGGUACUUAAUUUCAUAAAGAUAUUUUUAUAUAAGUAUAUAAUACACUUUAGGUAUGUCUCACCUCCUAUGCUCCAUACCCUCUCCUUUUCACCCCAUCCAUUUCCCUUUACUCCCCUUUGUUUACUUCUACUGUUAUUUUAUACAAAACCAAAUAAUUUUAUGUAACUAUAUAAAAUCUAUAGAAUGCUAUUUCAAGCUUUCUUGUUGGUUGAAUUUAAACUUUUUAUGGUGUGGUUCUGUUUAUGAUGGAUUUAUUUAGCUCGCGUUUGUAUAGUCUUUUAUUUUGAAAUUUAUAGCUGAUUGACUGGAAUCUUUGACUGGUAGUUUUCUGUUAGUAUUUGAACUUGGCACACUGAGGUUUUUGUACCUGGGCUGACAAAGCUUAUCACAUUUAAGCAUCUCAAGGCCAGCAAGAUGACUCAGUGGGUAAAGGAAUUUGCCACCAUGCUUGGUGAUCUGAGUUCCCUCUGGAGCCCUGGGCUGGGUGCAGUUUCUUGGAAGCAGGUUCUUUGAGUGUUGCCUUUGAUACUUGUUAGGUGGAAUCAUAAUAGUGUUUUGUUUAGGACUCAUUGUUCCCAUGACUGGGGUACAGAAAGACCCUGUGGAUACUCUGCUGUCAGCCCAGAAAAUCUAACCCUAAGAGAAGAAUGAGCCCUCAGAUCCAACCCUAAGAGAAGAAUGAGUCCCCUCUCCUAUAAAUAGAUUUUUUUUUGUAGCUAUUCCUGCUCCAACUUUGGGUAGAUUCUUCAGAAAAAUUUUAGUUAGUUGGUACUUGAGGAAGAGCUUUUAAAAGCUUUUAAAAAUAGAUACUCUAUUUUUAGCUUUCUCCUUCCUGGUAGUCUUUUCUUCAAACUCAAAUGACCUUGGUUUCUCUUGAAUCUCAGAUUAUGUUUAAUAAAAUAAAUUAAUUCUAUUACUUUACAUGUGAGGUGACAAACCAAUUUAUUUAUUGGUUUAUUGGAUAUUAUACUUGGUAUUUUUAGUCCUCCCCCAGGUUUUAGAAUAUACAUACCUGAUAGUUCAAUUCUAUUUGUCGCUAAUAUUUUACCAGUUCAAAUAAAGCAUGGACCCUCGUCCAACAAUCCAGAUGUCUUCACCCUCUUUGUACUAUAAUUGAUAUAAACUUUGGGAGACUGUCAGUUAAUGCAAUGCUACAUUUUUGAAGAUAUACAUGCUUGCAUACAUAUUUACACAUAUAUAUGUAUGUAUAAACAUUUUCUCUUCUAUAACAACCACCUCCUAGAAGUGAAUCAAUUUCAUUUCUAUGAUUCAGUCUACUUUGUGAGACUAGCAUUUAUUCCUUGUGAGAACUGCACAAUUAAAUAGUAAAUAAUUUAAAAUACAAAUUAGUAAAGACCUUGAUAACGCUGUGAUGAAUUCAUUUUCUAAGCAGAGGGUGCAGAAUAAGUGACGGCCAAAAAUGAAUACAUGAGCAGAAUGUGUAAUUGAAAUUUUACAAACUGAUUGAAUUUUAAGUCAUGAUUUUAGGGAGAAGUAUUUUUUAAAAGAUUUAUUUACUUAUUAUGUAUAUAAUGUUCUGCCUGCAUGUAUGCCU